rnacentral:rRNA from 1 species
UGGUAUGAUCAUACCAGUAUUAAAGCACCGGAUCCCAUCGGAACUCUGCAGUUAAGUGCGCUUGGGCGAGAUUAGUACUAAGAGGUGCGUUGUCACAGGAC